CGUCCGUAGCUGGCCGCACAAGUCCAUCGGGAAAUCCACCCGCCCAACGGGUGGACGUCCGGUGGAAACUGUACGGCUUGGGACCGGGAGGCGCGACGGGUACGUCCGGGGUAGGAGUGAAAUCCUGUAAUCCUGGACGGACCGCCGAUGGCGAAAGCACGUCGCGAGAACGGAUCCGACAGUGAGGGACGAAAGCCAGGAUCUCGAACC
rnacentral:rRNA from 1 species